UGUGUGUGAGUGAUGUUCAUUUACCGUGUUUUAAUCUGUGCAGGUCGUGACAAUCCUGGCCAAUCUGUCUGUGCUGGAGCAGUGCACCGCAGACGUCCUGGAGGAGAAGGGAAUCGAGCAGCUGCUGGUGUUACUGAAUGAGAAGCCGUCAUCCUCCAGUCCAUCGAGAGCGCCGCAUGUGAACGAGUUCAGCAGAAAGCAGCCGUUACACUGGCUCGACUUAGCAGAGACCCACUGCUCGCUCAGACCGCCAUACAGUGCAAGGGUACGAGAUUAGACACUUACAGGACAAGAACACGAGAUCACCGACACUUACAGGACAAGAACACGAGAUUACUGACACUUACAGGACAAGGGGACGAGAUUAUUGACAGCUCAAGGUUGUUCCACGUCUGAUCGAGCUGUGUCGCUCCCCAGCCGAGAGGAACAAUAGUGAUUCAGUUCUUGUGGCCUGUUUGGCUGCUUUGAGGAGGCUUGCGGCUGAAUGCCCUGACAGCAUGCUGUGUCAUACCUGUGCAGCUGCUGAUGCCUCUGAAGCAGUGCUGGUCAAUCCAAUUCAUCUUGUGACAGCUUUAAACCUGCAUCACCUGUACAAUACAGAAGAAAUGAGUCAUUUAAAGGAAAAACUCAUGACAAACCAUUAAAACAAUGGGCUAGUCAAGCACUCUUCAUAGUGUUUAAACUACAACCAACAUGUAGAUUUAACUUGCACUAUAAUCUAUGGUGACAGAAACUGACCCCUGCUCUCAAUAAAUCAAAGACAUUUGUGGUUUUUAUAAAUUAGUGUAUUUUUAAACAAAAAAACAUUAACAUUCAGAAAAAAAUGAUCAUUAAUGAACUCAUGCAAUAAAAUGAUUUCUGGC